AUCCCUACUCCCAGGGCACCUUGGCACCGCUCAUAUCGUAGCAGCGAUGGCUGACGAAGGCGACAUCGAGGAUCUCCUCCGCGAAGGCCAUGGGUUCCCUGCAGGCUGUCUGGGAGCAGUUCGGGGCGCAGGCGCGGCAGCGGCGGCGGCUUCAGCAGGAGGAGCAGGACGGCGAGCAGGCCCAGCAGCAGGCCGCAGCAUCACCACAACAGAAGCAGGGAUGAGCCUGGGGCUGCCUCGUGCCUGGGAUCUGCUUCGUUGAGAUCUUCAAAGCACUUUCCUACCAUGAAUUAAUUACAGGCUGCGUCGCAGCUGCUUCCAGCUCCGUUUAUAUAAUCUCAUGCUUCGUGGUUUUCACUUUGCUCCUCAUUUACAUGAGCCAACUGUUAACCCCAAAUAAUCAUGUAGGAUGCACAAGGAGAGCACAAUGCAGCUUCUGGAGCUAACAACCCACGGGACCCAGUGCAAGAUUCAUCCCUGCUCUGCUGCCAUACUCCUGCAGGAUCUGCCCAGUCCCAAGAGUGCUCUCCUUGUGUUUACUCAGCAAACCCAGCACCAGGUGGAGCCCUGUGCUCUGGGGCUGGUGCCAUCCAGCCUGCAGCACCAGCCUGGCGGUUUGGUGCCACACUGUCCCCAGUGCCACAGUUGCCCCCAGUGCCACCCACAGCCCUCC